UACAGAGGUCUCAAGCGUUGUUCGGAGUUACUGGGCGUAAAGGGUGCGUAGGCGGCGCGGUAAGUCGGGUGUGAAAUCUCGGAGCUUAACUCCGAAACUGCAUUCGAUACUGCCGUGCUUGAGGACUGGAGAGGAGACUGGAAUUUACGGUGUAGCAGUGAAAUGCGCAGAUAUCAGGAGGAACACCGGUGGCGAAGGGCGGGUCUCUGGGCCGAUACUGACGCUGAGGAGCGAAAGCGUGGGGAGCGAACAGG
rnacentral:rRNA from 1 species